GAAUGAACGUUGGCGGCGUGGAUUAGGCAUGCAAGUCGCGCGCAAAGCGUAGCAAUACGUGGAAAGCGGCGUAAGGGAGAGUAAUCCAUGGUUAGCUACCCUCGGGACUGGGAUAGCGGCGGGAAACUGCCGGUAAUACCAGAUGACAUCUUCGGAUCAAAGGUGUGAAUCCGCCCGGGGAGGCGACCAUGUCCUAUCAGCUUGUUGGCGGGGUAACGGCCCACCAAGGCUUAGACGGGAUGGGGCGUGAGAGCGUGCCCCCACUCACUGGGACUGAGACACUGCCCAGACACCUACGGGUGGCUGCAGUCGAGAAUCUUCGG
rnacentral:rRNA from 1 species